GAAAUAUCAACAACCAUUCUCGAAGGUGUUCAAAUAGUUGGCACGAAGACCAAAUAUGACAAUCAGCCCAAAUCAUGAUGAUAGCAAGUAAGUUUCAGUCAAAUAUGCGGUAAAAUCAUCAGUUAGGAUGGACCAAGUCGCAAUCCCCAACAAUAAAAGAACCUACGCUCGUCAUUCAGCGUGUGUCACACCUCAAUAUAGCACUAUGAUGUGCAAUCCGGAAAAUCAAACCCUCAAGGUAUCAUUUAUAAUCAUUACUCACCUCGAUCCAGUCCAAACUCUAGCCCACGAUACCUCUCCCGCACGAAUCGACCUCCGGAUGCUCCAAAUCUAGCCACAAUCAGUACAUAAUCAUUAAAAUAUUCCAAGGAAGCGAUGUCUACUCGAAAAUAUCUAAUUUAACAUCAAAAUCCUGAAAUUGCUCAAACCCGGCCCCUAGGCCCAUGCUUCGGAAUUCGACGAAACUCACACAAUCCGGCAACCCAUUAAACCACGAGUCCAACCACACAAAAAUUACUAAAUUCCGAUAACAAUUCGGCCUCCAAAUCUUCAAAUCUUAAU
rnacentral:lncRNA from 1 species